GACGAACGCUGGCGGCGUGCUUAACACAUGCAAGUCGAGCGGAAAGGCCCUUCGGGGUACUCGAGCGGCGAACGGGUGAGUAACACGUGAGUAAUCUGCCCUUGGCUUUGGGAUAACUACCGGAAACGGUGGCUAAUACCGGAUACGACAACCGUCUGCAUGGGCUGGUUGUGGAAAGUUUUUUCGGCCAGGGAUGUGCUCGCGGCCUCUCAGCUUGUUGGUGGGGUAAUGGCCUACCAAGGCGUCGACGGGUAGCCGGCCUGAGAGGGUGACCGGCCACACUGGGACUGAGACACGGCCCAGACUCCUACGGGAGGCAGCAGUGGGGAAUAUUGGACAAUGGGCGGAAGCCUGAUCCAGCAACGCCGCGUGAGGGAUGACGGCCUUCGGGUUGUAAACCUCUUUCAGUACCGACGAAGCGCCGAUGAUGGUGGUGACGGUAGGUACAGAAGAAGCACCGGCCAACUACGU
rnacentral:rRNA from 1 species